AUUCUUUCAUGAUUCAUAAGGCUAAAGAUUGCAUUUUCAUGCCAAUGUGUGAAAUUUGCCACUCUCAAACAGUC
ensembl:snoRNA